GACGAACGCUGGCGGCGUGCCUAAUACAUGCAAGUAGAACGCUGAAGAGAGGAGCUUGCUCUUCUUGGAUGAGUUGCGAACGGGUGAGUAACGCGUAGGUAACCUGCCUUGUAGCGGGGGAUAACUAUUGGAAACGAUAGCUAAUACCGCAUAACAAUGGAUGACACAUGUCAUUUAUUUGAAAGGGGCAAUUGCUCCACUACAAGAUGGACCUGCGUUGUAUUAGCUAGUAGGUGAGGUAAUGGCUCACCUAGGCGACGAUACAUAGCCGACCUGAGAGGGUGAUCGGCCACACUGGGACUGAGACACGGCCCAGACUCCUACGGGAGGCAGCAGUAGGGAAUCUUCGGCAAUGGGGGCAACCCUGACCGAGCAACGCCGCGUGAGUGAAGAAGGUUUUCGGAUCGUAAAGCUCUGUUGUAAGUCAAGAACGGGUGUGAGAAUGGAAAGUUCACACUGUGACGGUAGCUUACCAGAAAGGGACGGCUAACUACGUG
rnacentral:rRNA from 1 species